rnacentral:rRNA from 1 species
UACGUAGGGUGCAAGCGUUGUCCGGAAUUAUUGGGCGUAAAGAGCUCGUAGGCGGUCUGUCGCGUCGGCUGUGAAAUCCCGAGGCUCAACCUCGGGUCUGCAGUCGAUACGGGCAAACUAGAGUAUUGCAGGGGAGACUGGAAUUCCUGGUGUAGCGGUGAAAUGCGCAGAUAUCAGGAAGAACACCCGUGGCGAAGGCGGCUCUCUGGGACGGUACUGACGCUGAGGAGCGAAAGCGUGGGGAGCAAACAGG